rnacentral:lncRNA from 10 species
GGGGGUUUCUAGCCCAAUUCAGUGCUGGGAAGCAAGAGCUCACUCACUCUCCCAUCCCCCUUUCCCACUACCCACCCCUCCCCUCCUGCCAGCAAAUGGAGGCAGCACAUUUUCACUCCAAUUUCCACUUAAAGCUGCAGCUGCUGUCGCCGCCUGGGAACCCCUAUCUUUUUACAUGUUAUUGUGGAUCAGUUGCCCGCUGCUGCAAUAAAGAACUCUCAGUGGGUUGCCUGGAAUUUCUAACUCAGUGCCACAGAAAACCUGGUGGAUAAGGAAACAAGAGGCUGCGCUUCAGUGGUGGACCAGCAUGUGGAGACCUGGAAAAGAUAGAUUUAGAAGCUGGCAAAAGAGCCAACUCUCUGAUUUCCUCUUGCGUUCAGAUUUCAUCCAACCAUCCAUCCCCCAGGAGACGCUCAUCAGUCCUUGAAGAAUGCACCUCCUGAUUACAAUCAGAUAUUUUCCAAGUGCCAGCUGGAGAUUAACUGAUGGGAAGUCUCAGGUCAUAGAGGAUAUUGGGCCACAUCUGUCACUCCAUGGGGAAUUGUCAUUUCUGCUCAGUACUGAGGAGCUACGACCUGGGGACAGAAAAACCGGAGGAAUUGCAAAUUUAAAACACACACAGGGAGCCUAACUGGUGGUAUCUGAAUUAGAGCACAUUUUGUCCCUAUAGUCCAAGUUGGAGGCACUGAUGAGCAGCCCAAUUUUGUAAGGGUCUCAAAUAUUUACUUAAAGAAUAGUAUAGUAUAAAUACCUGCAUUAAAUCCAAUUGCUGUCACUAUUAAAAAUGUCAUACGAUUGUUUAUUUCUACUGCUUGCUCAGAAAGCAACCCAUGCUUGACAAAGGCCUGCUAUUUAUAAGAAGGUGCACAGAAAUGAACAGUAUUAAAUUUGGUGCCUGUUUAUUCCUCCAAGCUACCCAUACACCCUGCUUUACACUGAAAUGCUUUCUCCAUGUUUAUCCACAUUGUUUCUUUCCAAGUAAAACUUAUUACACAGAUUCCUCGGGGUAUUUUUUUUCUUUUCUUGAUUCUGGUUAAAUAAACUAUUGAUUUUGUUUUCAAGGUAACUUAAGGGGGAGUAAUACAGUUCUAAUUUGAUAAGUACAAUUGUAAUGCAUUCAAAGUAAACACACUUUAGG